CCCUUAGAUGUUCUGGGCCGCACGCGCGCUACACUGACGGAUUCAACGAGCUUACAACCUUGGCCGAAAGGUCUGGGUAAUCUCCAAAAUCCGUCGUGAUGGGGAUAGAUUAUUGCAAUUAUUAAUCUUCAACGAGGAAUGCCUAGUAAGCGCAAGUCAUCAGCUUGCGUUGAUUACGUCCCUGCCCUUUGUACACACCGCCCGUCGCUCCUACCGAUUGAAUGGUCCGGUGAAGCGUUUGGACUAUGGUUUUCCGAUGGUCCGCCGUUGGAUUACCGUGGGAAGUUCGUUAAACCUUAUCAUUUAGAGGAAGGAGAAGUCGUAACA
rnacentral:rRNA from 1 species